rnacentral:rRNA from 1 species
ACGAACGCUGGUUGGGAUGUUAACACAUGCAAGUCGAAACGCGAAGCCAGAGCUUUUUUGGGUGGAUUACGUGUCGACGGGUGAGAAACACGUGAAUAACCUGCCCCCCUUUUCGGGGAAACGCCCGGAAACGGGUGCUAAUACAGGUAUUCACUGGCCUUCGCAUCGGGGUUGUGGAAAGGGUUUUCUGGUGGGGGAUGGGCUCGCGGCCUAUCAGCUUGUUGGUGGGGUGAUGGCCUACCAAGGCUUUGACGGGUAGCCGGCCUGAGAGGGUGACCGGUCACAUUGGGACUGAGAUACGGCCCAGACUCCUACGGGAGGCAGCAGUGGGGAAUAUUGCACAAUGGGCGCAAGCCUGAUGCAGCGACGCCGCGUGAGGGAUGGAGGCCUUCGGGUUGUGAACCUCUUUCGCUCAUGGUCAAGCCGCAACAAUGGUUGUGGUGAGGGUAGUGGGUAAAGAAGCGCCGGCUAACUACGUGCCAGCAGCCGCGGUAAUACGUAGGGCGCGAGCGUUGUCCGGAAUUGUUGGGCGUAAAGGGCUUGUAGGCGGUUGGUCGCGUCUGCCGUGAAAUCCUCUGGCUUAACUGGGGGCGUGCGGUGGGUACGGGCUGACUUGAGUGCGGUAGGGGAGACUGGAACUCCUGGUGUAGCGGUGGAAUGCGCAGAUAUCAGGAAGAACACCGGUGGCGAAGGCGGGUCUCUGGGCCGUUACUGACGCUGAGGAGCGAAAGCGUGGGGAGCGAACAGG